rnacentral:tmRNA from 1 species
GGGGAUGCUUGGCUUCGACAGGGAGGGCAAGCCGUGGAUUGCAGGUCGUGCCGCCCAGUCACGUUAAAGGGGCAACGGCAAUAACUGCCAACUACAACAUUCGGGCUCAGGCUCCGCGCCUGGCCCUCGCUGCCUAAUUAGGUAGCGCGUCGUCCUCAAUUCACCUGAUGGUUGGGGGUACGGCGUCAGCAAGUCAGGUGCUGCUUAGGUGAACACCGGUUAGCUUAGGCUUAAGAUCAAUCGGUUUGCCCAAAGACCGUUCUGCUCAUCGUAUGGUCGCGGGCGAGCUCAAACGAUGGGAUAAACCUGUAGCAUGUCUGCGGUCCAGCUUUCUGGACGGGGGUUCGACUCCCCCCAUCUCCACCA